rnacentral:rRNA from 1 species
GUCAACAGCCAUACCACCCUGAAUGUACCCGAUCUCAUCUGAUCUUAGAAGCUAAGCAGGGUCGGGCCUUGUCAGUACCUGGAUGGGAGAAAAGUCAGUGCAGGGCU